rnacentral:rRNA from 1 species
CAAUAGCGUAUAUUUAAGUUGUUGCAGUUAAAAAGCUCGUAGUUGGAUUUCGGUUAAGAGCGACCGGUCCGCCGUUUGGUGUGCACUGGUUGGUUUUAACUUCCUGUAGAGGACGUGCUCUGGGCUUAACGGUCUGGACUCGGAGUCUACGUGGUUACUUUGAAAAAUUAGAGUGUUCAAAGCAGGCGAUCGCUUGAAUACAUUAGCAUGGAAUAAUAGAAUAGGACUUUGGUUCUAUUUUGUUGGUUUCUAGGACCGAAGUAAUGAUUAAUAGGGACAGUUGGGGGGCAUUAGUAUUUAAUUGUCAGAGGUGAAAUUCUUGGAUUUAUGAAAGACUAACUACUGCGAAAGCAUUUGCCAAGGAUGUUUUCAUUAAUCAAGAACGAAAGUUAGGGGAUCGAAGAUGAUCAGAUACCGU